CGUCCCAGCAAACAUUGGUCCGACCGCAACGUCGUGUCCCUGGCCAAAAAUAGUCGCGGUAUGACGGCACAAAUCGGUGAAAAUAUGUAACACAGAACAUUUCAUAAAAAUGCAUUCAGAUACAUUUGUACAUGUCUAUAGUUCUAUGGGGUUGCAUGUAUAAUUGUUACUUUGACUUUUACUACGCGUGCUUCAAUAUUUAUACCCUGUUGUGAAUCGGUUGUAAGAGGACGUCACUAGGUGACGUCUUUUACACGUGCAUUUAUAGUCCAUCAUGACCCUCUAUAAAAAAUCAUAAACCUUCUAUAAAGUCAUUGUGAAAUAUGCAAAUGCUGUGCUUACACCUUGGUUAAUACUGCAAUAAUUAAUUUAAGUGCAAAAAGUAGGUUUUUAAGAGGUUGUGAAUAGACGUCCACUGACGUCUUUUACACGUCUAGACUAGACUAGUAGGAAAAAAACAGGAUAAUCUUUAUGAAAUACACGAUUUGUAUACAAAGUAAAUAUAUUAACUUUAUCUUGUUUAAAUAAAUUAUAAUCACAAAGUGCCCAGUGUGAUUGCAAAGCCACACUGCAUUUUAGUCAUUAUUCCAACCUGUUUUAUUAUUGAAUGUAUGCAUAUAAAUGUAAAACAGAUACAUAUCCGGUCACCAUUUAGGUCUGAGUUGGAUGUAAUUUCAAAAACUGUGCUAUUAAUUUAAGAAAUAUAGUGAUAAAUCUGGGGAUAUUACAAAAUCCCGCGAUAGGACAGAUUAUCUCGCGAGAUAGUGGUGACGUCACGCGUUCUUCCGGAAGUUCACAUUCAAACACGAGGAGCGAUUACGAGGGAGUUUUGUCUAUAUAUCAUUCAAAAUCUACUGUUGGGAAAAGCAGAACCUCAUCCAAAUAAAAAUAAACAAGCUGUUAAAGGCACUGUGUCCUACACAGACCCUCCAAAAUAUAACCACCCAAAACCCAAGUCAGUUGAAGGUCAACACAAACCAAAUAAAGAUGUGCAUUCUACAAACAAUAAAAAAAGAUCAAGUUUUGUGUCCACCACACUGCGUGCCCGACCCCUGACUUUGUCUACCCUACAUUAAGUUGCACACUUCAUGACAGUAAACAUCGGUAUCACAAUGGUGUGAUUGAUCUAUACCCUAGAAUAAGCUGUGACACUAUGAGACGUGAGGUAACACAACGAAAAAAAUACCGGAUGGAGACUACCUGAUUCUUCACCUAUGGCCUCAGCUUCAAAUGCAACAUGUCCAGCAACUGUCUGAGUUGGUGGAUAUUCUGUCAGAGACUGCGUGAACAACGUUAUGAACAGAAUGAUGUCUAAUUGUCUUAUGGCAAAGUUCAAUAUGAGGGGUGGUGGACAUCUGGAAAAGAAGUCUUUUAAAGGCACACCUUUGUAUUAUGUUAUUCAAGAUGCUGUGAAGAGGUGGAGCCCAAAUGCCACAGACUCGGAAAUAGAUGCAGCUAUGGCAGACCACCUCAAGCACGCUCCAGGAAGAGCUGGGGGUGGUGGAUACAAAAAAGCCAAACAGCUGUAAUGUGUCAAAGAGGGAGUUCACCAAAAAAGGAAAAUUGUUAUAAUUUUCUUAUCCACAUGUUUCAAACCUGUAUACCUUUAUAUUUUCUGCUGAACACAAAGAUUGAAGAAUGUUUGUAACUUCACAACCAAUUAACUGUCAAUAUUUUUUUUACAAUUGUAGUAAUGGGUUGUGGGAUCUGCUUUGUUAAAAACAUUCUUUCACAUAUCUUUGUGUUCAGCAGAACAUAGAAGGGUAUACAGGUUUGAAACAUGAGAGGGAAUAAAUGACUAAAUAUAAAUUUUUGGGUGAACUAUCCC